rnacentral:rRNA from 1 species
CAGUAGCCACGGUAAUACGAAGGUCCCGAGCGUUGUUCGGAAUCACUGGGCGUAAAGGGAGCGUAGGCGGCGUGGUAAGUCAGAUGUGAAAUCCCGGGGCUCAACCCCGGAACUGCAUCCGAUACUGCCAUGCUAGAGGAUUGGAGAGGUAGCUGGAAUUCUUGGUGUAGCAGUGAAAUGCGUGGAGAUCAAGAGGAACACUCGUGGCGAAAGCGAGCUACUGGACAAUAACUGACGCUGAGGCUCGAAGGCCAGGGUAGCGAAAGGGAUUAGAUACCCCCGUAGUCCCUGUCUCUUAUAC